rnacentral:rRNA from 1 species
GACGAACGCUGGCGGCGUGCUUAACACAUGCAAGUCGAACGAUGAAGAAAAGAAUCGAAGCUUCGGCAGAAAUUCAUUUCGGAUUAGUGGCAGACGGGUGAGUAACGCGUGAGCAACCUACCUCUUACAAAGGGAUAGCCUCGGGAAACCGGGAUUAAUACCAUAUAACAUUGCGACGAAGCAUUUCGAUGCAAUCAAAGCUACGGCGGUAAGAGAUGGGCUCGCGUCCCAUUAACCGGAUGGUGAGGUAACGGCUCACCAUAGUGACGAUGGGUAACCGGCCUGAGAGGGUGAACGGUCACACUGGAACUGAGACACGGUCCAGACUCCUACGGGAGGCAGCAGUGGGGAAUAUUGCACAAUGGAGGGAACUCUGAUGCAGCGACGCCGCGUGAGUGAUGAAGGAAUUCGUUUCGUAAAACUCUGUUCUAUGGGAAGAAAAGGACUGUACCAUAGGAGAAAGCUCCGGCUAAAUACGUGCCAGCAGCCGCGGUAAUACGUAUGGAGCGAGCGUUGUCCGGAAUUAUUGGGCGUAAAGGGUGCGCAGGCGGCUUUACAAGUUGGAUGUGAAAUAUUGUGGCUCAACCACAAACGUGCAUCCAAAACUGCAAAGCUUGAGUUAAGGAGAGGUAAGUGGAAUUCCUGGUGUAGCGGUGGAAUGCGUAGAUAUCAGGAGGAAUACCGGUGGCGAAGGCGACUUACUGGACUUAAACUGACGCUCAGGCACGAAAGCGUGGGGAGCAAACAGGAUUAGAUACCCUGGUAGUCCACGCCGUAAACGAUGAGUGCUAGGUGUUGGGGGUCAAACCUCGGUGCCGCAAGCAAACGCAAUAAGCACUCCGCCUGGGGAGUACGUGCACAAGCAUGAAACUCAAAGGAAUUGACGGGGACCCGCACAAGCGGCGGAGCAUGCGGAUUAAUUCGAUGCAACGCGAAGAACCUUACCAAGGCUUGACAUGCACUGGAAUCGCCUAGAGAUAGGUGCGCCCUUCGGGGCUGGUGUACAGGUGGUGCAUGGUUGUCGUCAGCUCGUGUCGUGAGAUGUUGGGUUAAGUCCCGCAACGAGCGCAACCCUCGUUCUAUGUUGCCAGCACGUGAUGGUGGGAACUCAUAGGAGACUGCCGGGGUCAACUCGGAGGAAGGUGGGGAUGACGUCAAAUCAUCAUGCCCUUUAUGUCUUGGGCUUCACGCAUGCUACAAUGGUCGGUACAGAGGGUGGCGAUGCCGUGAGGUGGAGCGAAUCCCUUAAAGCCGGUCUCAGUUCGGAUCGUAGUCUGCAACUCGACUACGUGAAGUCGGAGUCGCUAGUAAUCGCAGAUCAGCAACGCUGCGGUGAAUACGUUCCCGGGCC